GAUGAACGCUGGCGGCGUGCCUAAUACAUGCAAGUCGAGCGAACAGACGAGGAGCUUGCUCCUCUGACGUUAGCGGCGGACGGGUGAGUAACACGUGGAUAACCUACCUAUAAGACUGGGAUAACUUCGGGAAACCGGAGCUAAUACCGGAUAAUAUAUUGAACCGCAUGGUUCAAUAGUGAAAGACGGUUUUGCUGUCACUUAUAGAUGGAUCCGCGCCGCAUUAGCUAGUUGGUAAGGUAACGGCUUACCAAGGCAACGAUGCGUAGCCGACCUGAGAGGGGGUUGGGCCCACUGGAACUGAGAAACGGUCCCAACUCCUACGGGAGGGAGCAGUAGGGAAUCUUCCGCAAUGGGCGAAAGCCUGACGGAGCAACGCCGCGUGAGUGAUGAAGGUCUUCGGAUCGUAAAACUCUGUUAUUAGGGAAGAACAAAUGUGUAAGUAACUAUGCACGUCUUGACGGUACCUAAUCAGAAAGCCACGGCUAACUACGUG
rnacentral:rRNA from 1 species